ensembl:lncRNA
CUAUUCCUCUGUUCUUCACCAUACUAUUCCUCUGUUCUUCACCAUACUAUUCCUCUGUUCUUCACCAUACUAUUCCUCUGUUCUUCACCAUACUCUCUCCAGAACACUGAUGCCUUUCUGUAGUGUUUGGGUACUUCGUUAUAUUUCAGUCCACAUUAAUAACCCUUUACAGUUCAUAGGUCAACUACAUGCUAGCUGCAUCUGGACUCCACCUUCAGUCCAGUAGACGGUGGUUUAUUACUUGCUUAGAGAAGAGCAAAUAUGUUCUAAACCAGGGGUCUGUUCAGGAGUAACAUAUUUUUUCCAAUUGAAAAAAUGUACUAAAUUAACUUGGCUAUUUAGAGAGCAAAUUUUUGUUUUCCAUUUGUGCUUUCUGAACGUAACCCAACCCAGGGUUGUUCUCUCUGUGGAUACACAGUGUUGCAGGUAGAAAUAGCAUCUAUAUAUCACAUUUCACAAGGAAAAUAGAAUGUCUUCUCUAUUAGAUGUAAAAUCUAUCUGUAACAUUGUUUCUCUGUUCCCUGUCUUCUCUAUUAGAUGUAAAAUCUAUCUGUAACAUUGUUUCUCUGUUCCCUGUCUUCUCUAUUAGAUGUAAUAUAUAUCUGUAACAUUGUUUCUCUGUUCCCUGUCUUCUCUAUAGAUUGUUUCUCCGUUCCCUGUCUUCUCUAUAGAUUGUUUCUCUGUUCCCUGUCUUCUCUAUUAGAUGUAAUAUAUAUCUGUAACAUUGUUUCUCUGUUCCCUGUCUUCUCUAUAGAUUGUUUCUCCGUUCCCUGUCUAAUAUGUGCCUCCCAAAUGGCACCCAUAGGGCUCUGGCUACAGGUUGUGCACUACAUAGGGAAUAGGGCCCUGGUUAAAGUAGUGCACUACAUAGGGAAUAGGGCUCUGGCUAAAGAUUGUGCACUACAUAGGGAAUAGGGCCCUGGUUAAAGUAGUGCACUACAUAGGGAAUAGGGCUCUGGCUAAAGGUUGUGCACUACAUAGGGAAUAGGGCCCUGGUUAAAGUAGUGCACUACUUAGGGAAUAGGGCUCUGGCUAAAUGUUGUGCACUACAUAGGGAAUAGGGCUCUGGUUAAAAUUGUGCACUACAUAGGGAAUAGGGCUCUGGUUAAAGUAGUGCACUACAUAGGGAAUAGGGCUCUGGCUAAAGGUUGUGCACUACAUAGGGAAUAGGGCCCUGGUUAAAGUAGUGCACUACUUAGGGAAUAGGGCUCUGGCUAAAUGUUGUGCACUACAUCGGGAAUAGGACUCUGGUUAAAGUAGUGCACUUCAUAGGGAAUUGGGCCCCGUUUAAAGUAGUGCACUACAUCGGGAAUAGGGCUCUGGUUAAAGUAGUGCACUACAUAGGGAAUAGGGUUCUGGUUAAAGUAGUGCACUGCAUAGGGAAUAGGGUGCCAUUUGGGAUGCACCCCUGGACUAACUAACUCAGAGGUCCUGAACAGUCAUUCUGAUUCCCAUGUAAAGUAGCCUUUUGAGUGACCAAAACAUCACCCAUAAUUAUUAUUUUUUUCUCCUCUAGAAAUGCUCUGAAUGUUAAAAAAAAAUGUAAAAGUAUUUUUUUAUUUUAUGUCAAACUACCAGGAAGUCUGAAAAGACAGAUUGUGCGGGGAGAUCACCUGACGGUUCUUUGGAAACGGCCAUGUCAAGCAACAUGGACGCAGUGUUGCCAUGUUGCAGUGACAUUAUCUCAAGCAAAUUGCGUGCAACUUCCAUUCCUUUCAGACAUCACAUCAUGGUUUCAGAAAUAUAUAUAUAUUUAUUUAUUUAUUGUCAGCACCAUUUUAUAUAGCUAUCUUGGACAAUUUGAUUUGAAACGACAGGGUGGAGUCUGGGUAAACGUCAUGCAUUUUAUAUAUGUUGACUGCCAGACAAUGGUCAUAUAUCAUGACUAUGUCAAGAAGUUUGCAACGUUAAUGUAACGACAUGGCCUUUGGUGUAUUAAAAUAAGAGUUUAUUUUUGUGACCUCCUCCUGAGUCCAAGUGUUUGACAAGUGGGGGAGGGGUAUCAGUAACUUUAUGAUCCAACUUGAUCAAUGUAGAAGCAACAGUCAUUUAUCAUACAUUGGUCUUCCUACUUUGAUCUGGUUUCAACCAAAUAUCAUGAAACUUCAUGAAGAAAAAAACAAUUUUGACUGUUCAGGACCUUUAACAGAACAUGGUUUGGUGACAGGGUCUUAUUUGUAUGCUAUGUAAAUAAUACCAUUUUAUUUAUUUGAAAAGUUCAACAAUAUAUUUAUCUACAUCUGAACAAUAACAAUACAAGUCAGUGUACAUAUACGCGGAUCAACUUCCCGUCACAUGACUCUGUGGGGAUGAUGUCACUUCCUCUGUAACAGUGUCUUCUGGGUACUGUAGUACUUCACGUGUCACCGCAGUAGCUACCUGGGAAAUGCGAUGCGUUGAGUUCAACUCCUCUCCCCAGUGCACCAGUGUGUUAAAAUUGGUUGUGUAUGAUAUCUAAACCUCUGUUCAACUACAGUUUAUUAAAAUCAAUGCUGUAAAACAUACAAGCUGUUGGCCUGCGUGUAUUCAAUAGCUCUCCAUGUGUUUAUGCUAGAGAUUUAUCGUGCCAUGUCAUUGCUGCAGCCCAAUCCCCUCUUUCCGCCAAAA